CACGCGCGAAAUGUGCGAAUGGGUGUGUAUUUUUUACGCGAAAAGACUCGAAUACCCUUUAAAUUAGUAAUUUAAAAAAUUAUAAAUUCAACCCAUAAUUUUAAUCAGGCCCAAAAUGAAGUUCUCAAAAUUUUUAAUUCAAUUCCAAUAUUUCUAAAAAGCCAUCUUCCCCAAUCAACCCGAAACCAGAUUUCUCUUCUCCACCACACACCUACAACUACCAAAAUUUUCCUCCACCAUCAAAUAAUCCAUUACAAAUCAACAAAUAAAAGGGAAGUUGAAAUUCAAUUCAAGCCAAAAAUGAAAUGCAUUUGCAAUUCCAUUACAGACCGUAUAUUUGUGUGUGUUUGUGUGUAAGACCCACCAUUAGAGCACGUAAAGGGGAGCUUGAGCAAAGACAAUAAACUCCUUAAACCUCCUAACUCUAAAUAAAUGGCCUAUUCCCUCGUCAUUUCCCUGCGUCAGACACCAUUCAGUUGUUCUUGAGGUGGUCGGUCGUCUUCAACUCCACUGUCGUCCCCAAAGGGAAGAUUUUUCAAACUUUUCUUUUUCUUUUUUUCCCGAUUUUUUGUGUUGUACUGUGGGGUAUUUGGCUUGUUCUACUUAGGCAUGGUUUCGUCAUUUCAUGUAAGUCAACACCCAAUUUUAAUGUCAGGGGCAGUAUGCUUUGCAAAAUAAAAUAUAUGGAGGUCUUUGCUAA